rnacentral:rRNA from 1 species
GAUGAACGCUGGCGGCGUGCCUAAUACAUGCAAGUCGAGCGAACAGACGAGGAGCUUGCUCCUCUGACGUUAGCGGCGGACGGGUGAGUAACACGUGGAUAACCUACCUAUAAGACUGGGAUAACUUCGGGAAACCGGAGCUAAUACCGGAUAAUAUAUUGAACCGCAUGGUUCAAUAGUGAAAGACGGUUUUGCUGUCACUUAUCGAUGGAUCCGCGCCGCAUUAGCUAGUUGGUAAGGUAACGGCUUACCAAGGCAACGAUGCGUAGCCGACCUGAGAGGGUGAUCGGCCACACUGGAACUGAGACACGGUCCAGACUCCUACGGGAGGCAGCAGUAGGGAAUCGUCCGCAAUGGGCGAAAGCCUGACGGAGCAACGCCGCGUGAGUGAUGAAGGUCUUCGGAUCGUAAAACUCUGUUAUUAGGGAAGAACAAAUGUGUAAGUAACUAUGCACGUCUUGACGGUACCUAAUCAGAAAGCCACGGCUAACUACGUG